CCUACGGGAGGCAGCAGUGGGGAAUCUUGCGCAAUGCACGAAAGUGUGACGCAGCAACGCCGCGUGGAGGAAGAAGGCUCUCGGGUCGUAAACUCCUUUCAGUUGGGACGAAGCUUCGUCGGUUAAUAGCCGGCUGGAGUGACGGUACCUUCACAAGAAGCACCGGCUAACUACGUGCCAGCAGCCGCGGUAAUACGUAGGGUGCAAGCGUUGUCCGGAAUCAUUGGGCGUAAAGAGCGUGUAGGCGGCCCGAUUAGUCCGCUGUGAAAGUCCAGGGCUCAACCCUGGAAUGCCGGUGGACACUGUCGGGCUCGAGUCCGGAAGAGGCGAGUGGAAUUCCUGGUGUAGCGGUGAAAUGCGCAGAUAUCAGGAAGAACACCAACGGCGAAGGCAGCUCGCUGGGACGGUACUGACGCUGAGACGCGAAAGCGUGGGGAGCAAACAGGAUUAGAUACCCUGGUAGUCCGACGACCGUAACGAGUAGGUACGUAGGUGUGGGGUGGUCGCGUCCCCGUCGCGACGCUACGCAUACGUACCCGCCGUCGGAGGUACGGCCGCGACGACGUAAACCGUACGAACGAAGUAGACGGCGUGAGACGUCGCCGACGGACGACGACGAGGGAGGUUAGG
rnacentral:rRNA from 1 species